rnacentral:rRNA from 1 species
GAUGAACGCUAGCUACAGGCUUAACACAUGCAAGUCGAGGGGCAGCGGGAUUGAAGCUUGCUUCAAUUGCCGGCGACCGGCGCACGGGUGAGUAACGCGUAUCCAACCUUCCGUACACUCAGGGAUAGCCUUUCGAAAGAAAGAUUAAUACCUGAUGGUAUGAUGAGAUUGCAUGAUAGCAUCAUUAAAGAUUUAUCGGUGUACGAUGGGGAUGCGUUCCAUUAGCUUGUUGGCGGGGUAACGGCCCACCAAGGCGACGAUCAGUAGGGGUUCUGAGAGGAAGGUCCCCCACAUUGGAACUGAGACACGGUCCAAACUCCUACGGGAGGCAGCAGUGAGGAAUAUUGGUCAAUGGACGAGAGUCUGAACCAGCCAAGUAGCGUGCAGGAAGACGGCCCUAUGGGUUGUAAACUGCUUUUAUAAGGGAAUAAAGUGAGUCUCGUGAGACUUUUUGCAUGUACCUUAUGAAUAAGGACCGGCUAAUUCCGUGCCAG